rnacentral:rRNA from 1 species
GAAGUUACUUCGGUACAUCGGUGACAGGUGGUGCAUUGGUUGUCGUCAGCUCGUGUCGUGAGAUUGUUGGGUUAAGUCCCGCAACGAGCGCAACCCUAUUGUUAGUUGCCAUCAUUCAGUUGGGCACUCUAGCGAGACUGCCGGUAAUAAACCGGAGGAAGGUGGGGAUGACGUCAAAUCAUCAUGCCCCUUAUGACCUGGGCUACACACGUGCUACAAUGGUUGGUACAACGAGUUGCGAGUCGGUGACGGCGAGCUAAUCUCUUAAAGCCAAUCUCAGUUCGGAUUGUAGGCUGCAACUCGCCUACAUGAAGUCGGAAUCGCUAGUAAUCGCGGAUCAGCACGCCGCGGUGAAUACGUUCCCGGGCCUU